CUACGUGCCAGCAGCCGCGGUAAUACGUAGGGUGCGAGCGUUAAUCGGAAUUACUGGGCGUAAAGCGGGCGCAGACGGUUACUUAAGCAGGAUGUGAAAUCCCCGGGCUCAACCUGGGAAUUGCGUUCUGAACUGGGUGGCUAGAGUGUGUCAGAGGGGGGUAGAAUUCCACGUGUAGCAGUGAAAUGCGUAGAGAUGUGGAGGAAUACCGAUGGCGAAGGCAGCCCCCUGGGAUAGCACUGACGUUCAUGCCCGAAAGCGUGGGUAGCAAACAGGAUUAGAUACCCUGGUAGUCCACGCUGUAAACGAUGGAUACUAGCUGUUUGGAGUAAUCUGAGUGGCUAAGCGAAAGUGAUAAGUAUCCCACCUGGGGAGUACGUUCGCAAGAAUGAAACUCAAAGGAAUUGACGGGGGCCCGCACAAGCGGUGGAGCAUGUGGUUUAAUUCGAUGAUACGCGAGGAACCUUACCAAGGUUUAA
rnacentral:rRNA from 1 species